rnacentral:rRNA from 1 species
UACAGAGGUCCCAAGCGUUGUUCGGAUUCACUGGGCGUAAAGGGUGCGUAGGCGGUCGGGUAAGUCUGAUGUGAAAUCUCACAGCUUAACUGUGAAACUGCAUUGGAUACUAUUCGGCUUGAGAGUUGGAGGGGGGACUGGAAUUCUUGGUGUAGCAGUGAAAUGCGUAGAUAUCAAGAGGAACACCAGUGGCGAAGGCGGCUCUCUGGACCAGCACUGACACUGAGGCACGAAAGCGUGGGGAGCAAACAGG